AUGGGGUGCCCAAGCUGUGUUUAAGAAUCCUGUAAUCUAGAUGGUGGAGUGGGAUGCGGCACAUAUUUCACAUUGACUGUACUUUUUUUAAUUGUAUAUUUUGUUUAAUCUUGUUUAGGGUCCUGUGUUGGUUAUGGUGGUAGUGUUAAUUACUGGCUAUUAAGAGAGCAUGCGCUCACUAUAUAUAUUAAAGUUGUUUUUGUUACUUUGGUUUCAUGUGGGAGUAGAGGGGAAUUUGCCAUCCUGUCACUGUAGCGUAAUAGCUGCCUGUAAUUAAUUGUGUAUCAUUUUGGACUUCUUCCCAGUGUCAUACAUGAAUUAUGGGCCUUACAGUUCUUACGCCCCAGUCUUGUUGCAAACGUCAGCAAAGCAGACUUAGACCUCAUAUAUUCCUUCUAUGGAGAGGAAUCAAGCUUGGAGGGCCCAGCCAGUGUCCAUCAUUUUUUGGCAAAUGCAGAUGAUUAUACUUACAAGAUGGCAGACAACAUACUGGAUGCACUGACCAAUGGAGAACAUUCCAAGAGCCUGAGAGAAAUGGGAAUGCUAAAAAGCAGAAUAAAAAAAAAAAAAGCUUCAAUGUCUUUUUUUUUUUGUAAAUAACAAUACUGUAGUGCCAGUCAGAUUUAAACACGUUUAUUUAAAGCCCUAUGACCGGUACGACUCAAAUCGGAGAGUAAAACACAUGUUUGUUUUUAUAUAAAGUAAGGCAUGGUAUUGAAUCUCAAGGACAAUUCUGUUUUCUAGUUUUUUCCUUUUAUCAGCAACAAAGGAGUUUGAUUCUUUAUGGGAUUUAAUUGGACUAGAUAAAUAUUGGUUUGAGAAGAGUCAAUAUCCUUUCAGACAAUGCAAGGAAGUGAGGAGUGCACAGACAGGCCUGAUGAUGUCGAGGUGAAUCUUCUUUCUUGGUCCGUGUACGGAAAUAAUUAGUGAACCAGAGCCUUGAUGAACUUCAUGGCUGCAGCUGUACAAACAAGUGUGUGUGUCCUGUCUGUUUGGCAGUCUAACGCUGUUUGACUUUGCUACAUUUAUCUUGCAGGAAAAAAAAAAAUAACACAGAUCUCAUCUACCCGCCAACAUUAUUAUUGAACAUGUUUGUGAUGCGUGGAGCGAAGCCAUGUGCCGUGCUCCGCAGCAGUGUUUUGGUGCUGAAUAGGGAGAACCCCUGAUUUGACACCGCGCUGUGCCUAAACGUUUGCCAUCAUGGUCUCAUUAGAUCGUUGAAGCACAUGCCAGCAGCAAGGACGGAUUUACCUCCAUGGGUGCUGUUGCAGGUCUGGAAAUGGAGACGGCAUCCUUCGACUCCAAAGCUGAGAAGGUGACUGGAAAUCUGAAGCACCUGGCCAGCCAAGUGACUUCCGGUGACAUCACCAGUGUGUACGGGACCAGGGAGGUCAUGGGCGUUGCUGUGCUUGCACGCCUGCAUGUCUGCUGGAGCAGAGCCUGGUAGACCUGACUGCAGGGGAGUGUGCAGCACGCUGCAGUUAGGUUGUGAAGAUGCUUCAGACUCCAGCAGGAGCCUGACUGCCAACCAAGAAGACGUCCCACCUGUAGCAGUGUAAGCCAGUUCCUUGUUUACUGAAAAGCUUUUUUCAAAUUCUGUCUGCAAGUUGUGUUCAAUAAUAAAAAAAAAAAACACUAAACAGAGCAUGUUUUUGUACUGUACAGAAUGUAUUUGCUCAAUAUUUGUACAUGGUUUUAAACAAUAAACCUUUUUUUAUAAUACCAAUUGUGAAUCAUUGACAUGGACUGAUUAACUAACAUUGCACCCACACCAAUGUGGUGCGGAAAUCUUUUGUUAAAGGUAUACCUUUUUAUAGUCCGUUUACAAGCUUGCUCUAGGCCAUCUGGAAUUAAUUAGGGGUGUAAUGACUCGUUAUGUAAUCUAUGAAAUAGAGACUUUCUUUACAUG